UCACGUAUCCACGUACAAAACACUGUGAACUGUUCUCCCUUUCGGAGGUGCUGGGUUUGGCUAGAUCAAUAUCGCUUCGCUGUCGUGAUAGAAGUGUGGUCUAGCCGUUCCUGAACUCGCUUCAGGACGCCUGUAUCUUUGAAAGCGGUUAUUAUCACGCAACCUUAAACUUUAUUAACCCCUUUAACCUUUAUGAACUGAAAUUAAGCUUGAUGCGAAGGAGUGCCUCGGCAUUCUUGAAGUCAAGUCUUUAUUACGAAACUAAGAA
rnacentral:misc_RNA from 1 species